AUUUAGCUAUUUAACUCAAUUAACAUCUAAUGGUAAAACAACUGCCUAAAAUAGAGUCAAAGGUUUAUGCUCAAAGCCCCACAUCACCAAGUGGGGCUUGACUUAAUUAUAGUUUCAGCUCUCUCAGAAAGAGAAUCUUCAACCAGUCAAUCAAGGGUCUUCCAUAUCACAGAGGCCUCUCAUCCCAUAAAGGAAAGAAAGUUUGCAAUCACCAACUGCUUCAUUUUGUCUAGUAUAACUCCUUGUUCGUGCUCCCUUUUGUCUAUAAAGUUCUUUCAUUUGCCCAGUUCCUCAAGGCUUCUAUCUGCUAGAUUGGAUACUGCUCAAUUUGUGAAUCAUUUAAUAAAGCCAAGAAGGUCUUUACAUUUUACUUAGUCGACUUUGGUUGCUGUUUAAAGGUGCCGAUGGGAUCCAAAGGCCACUGGCUUUGGACAGCUUUGGCAAGGCAACAACUAGAAACACAGGUUUACUGUGCUUUGUGCUGUCUUUAUCAGGUCUUUGAUGGCCUAAGAAAACUGGAUCUCCUCAGUAUUCAAAAAGGGUGAAAUUCAUGGAAAGGACACUCCUGGCUACUCCUGACCACGGACAGCAUGGCCAGGUUACAAGGCUUUAAACCGUAGGGCCACACUGGACAACCGGUGAAGGCUCCACCUGACAUCUGGUUCUGAGCAAAGUCUGGAGACCACAAAAUCAAAUGACAAGGAAGAGAAAUCGCCUACCUGGAGAUAGACUACAUCGCCCUAAGAAUCUGGGUCAAGACUAUUUCUUUUCAUUCCUCCUCCUUUUUCUGACUAUUCUUUUCCUAAUUCUCACACCAGAAAGGUGUCACGAUUAUUUUGUCUACCUUUUGCCUUGUUCUGACCUGGAAAGAUAAUUUCAUUGUUCACAUACCUCAGGCCACUGGCAAGGUAGGACAUCCAGUUUCCAGAUGACUUCUGGAUUGACCACAGUGCUGACCAUCGUAGUUUUGCCUGCUAUGAAGUUCUCCUUGAUUUCCAAAGCCUCAGUUUCUCUGGAAUCAACAGCCUCCUCUCUUCUGUAUCAGACUCCCUAACUCUGAGUGCCCAUUUCCCUGCCUCUCCUUAGCACCCCCAAACCCAGGGCCCCUUGUGUCAAGGCUUCCUACAAACCUCAUUGGGGUCUAUAGAAUUUCAAAUUUUACUGGCCUCCAUGGCUGUCAUCUUUAGUUUUUUCUUUUUUUAAAGCUUUAAAUGCAUGUUCAUAGCUGACCAAAACAAAUGAUCACCCCAAGACUAGAGCUUCAGAAAAGGAAAAGGUAAGCGAAUGACCAACUUAAAGAAUGUGAACCUGACCCCGUGACCUGACUGACUACAAGCUGAGAACUCCAGUGCAGUAGCUGGGGGUAGGGCUGAUGCCUUCAAUUUUGAUCACAUCUCUUAGUUAAUCUGAGAGUCUGGUCAACAAUGGGAGGCAGGGUGGGAGUUGAGGGGGGAGGAUUGUUUAUAAGAACAGAACCAAACUGAAGUCGCUUACCCUCAGCCCUGUGUUGCCACACUGAGACAAUCACACACUGAGAUAAUCACAGUUUGGGCUUUCUCUUAAAUGAAUCUUAAACCAGUCCACAGGAAUCUCCUGAUCAGCACUAGUAGGUAAUCUGCCAGAUAAACCCCUGCCAUUCCCUAAAGGACAGUAACCCUGAAAUAACCAACCUGUGUUUUGUCUAGAGUAACUGCCUUCUUC
ensembl:lncRNA